CGCCAGCAUGCAGAGUCUGAUGUCUUCCCUAUAGAUGGUGAGACUCUUUGCGUUGAUUGGUGCUGCUGGACCACACUGGAGGUGCGAGUCCGCCGUGUAAUGGUUUAUGCCAUUACAAAGGAGCUGGCCUCUGUACUCAACUGGGCAGGGGAAAAAAACCAAGGACCAGACAAAGCAAAAAAGGGCAUUUAAAGAGACAGCGCUGUGCAGAUGCAUAUUUGAUGGCCUGGCGCAGCAGGUAGGGGCGAACUCUAUGUCUGAGUUGGUCUUUCCUCAAGCAGUCCAGAAAUGGCUCAGAUAUGCUCCAGAUCGUACGGGUGGCGCGCAGGACGCACAUCAUCCAUCCCCAUCCCCGAGUAAAUAAUAAAAAGUGACGUGAAA
ensembl:lncRNA